rnacentral:rRNA from 1 species
GACGAACGCUGGCGGCGCGCCUAACACAUGCAAGUCGAACGAGCGAGAGAGAGCUUGCUUUCUCAAGCGAGUGGCGAACGGGUGAGUAACGCGUGAGGAACCUGCCUCAAAGAGGGGGACAACAGCUGGAAACGACUGCUAAUACCGCAUAAGCCCACGACCCGGCAUCGGGUAGAGGGAAAAGGAGCAAUCCGCUUUGAGAUGGCCUCGCGUCCGAUUAGCUAGUUGGUGAGGUAACGGCCCACCAAGGCGACGAUCGGUAGCCGGACUGAGAGGUUGAACGGCCACAUUGGGACUGAGACACGGCCCAGACUCCUACGGGAGGCAGCAGUGGGGAAUAUUGCACAAUGGGGGAAACCCUGAUGCAGCGACGCCGCGUGGAGGAAGAAGGUCUUCGGAUUGUAAACUCCUGUUGUUGAGGAAGAUAAUGACGGUACUCAACAAGGAAGUGACGGCUAACUACGUG